rnacentral:rRNA from 1 species
AGUGAAUAGAUACCCUGGUAGUCCACGCCCUAAACGAUGUCAACUGGGUGUUGGGGAAGCGAUUCCUUGGUACCGUAGCUAAACGCGUGAAGUUGACCGCCUGGGGAGUACGGCCGCAAGGUUAAAACUCAAAGGAAUUGACGGGGACCCGCACAAGCGGUGGAUGAUGUGGAUUAAUUCGAUGCAACGCGAACAACCUUACCUACCCUUGACAUGUCCGGAACCCUGCUGAGAGGUGGGGUGCCCGAAAGGGAAUCGGAACACAGGUGCUGCAUGGCUGUCGUCAGCUCGUGUCGUGAGAUGUUGGGUUAAGUCCCGCAACGAGCGCAACCCUUGUCCCUAGUUGCUACGCAAGGGCACUCUAGGGAGACUGCCGGUGACAAACCGGAGGAAGGUGGGGAUGACGUCAAGUCCUCAUGGCCCUUAUGGGUAGGGCUUCACACGUCAUACAAUGGACGGUACAGAGGGUAGCCAACCCGCGAGGGGGAGCCAAUCCCAGAAAGCCGUUCGUAGUCCGGAUCGCAGUCUGCAACUCGACUGCGUGAAGUCGGAAUC